ACGAACGCUGGCGGCGUGCUUAACACAUGCAAGUCGAGCGGAAAGGCCACUUCGGUGGUACUCGAGCGGCGAACGGGUGAGUAACACGUGAGUAAUCUGCCCUUGGCUUUGGGAUAGCCACCGGAAACGGUGAUUAAUACCGGAUACGACCACUUCUCGCAUGGGAUGGUGGUGGAAAGUUUUUUCGGCCAGGGAUGUGCUCGCGGCCUAUCAGCUUGAUGGUGAGGUAAUGGCUCACCAUGGCUUCGACGGGUAGCCGGCCUGAGAGGGUGACCGGUCACACUGGGACUGAGACACGGCCCAGACUCCUACGGGAGGCAGCAGUGGGGAAUAUUGGACAAUGGGCGGAAGCCUGAUCCAGCAACGCCGCGUGAGGGAUGACGGCCUUCGGGUUGUAAACCUCUUUCAGCAGGGACGAAGCGCAAGUGACGGUACCUGCAGAAGAAGCACCGGCCAACUACGUGCCAGCAGCCGCGGUAAUACGUAGGGUGCGAGCGUUGUCCGGAAUUAUUGGGCGUAAAGGGCUCGUAGGCGGUUUGUCGCGUCGGGAGUGAAAACCAGGUGCUUAACACCUGGCUUGCUUUCGAUACGGGCAGACUAGAGGUAUUCAGGGGAGAACGGAAUUCCUGGUGUAGCGGUGAAAUGCGCAGAUAUCAGGAGGAACACCGGUGGCGAAGGCGGUUCUCUGGGAAUGACCUGACGCUGAGGAGCGAAAGUGUGGGGAGCGAACAGGAUUAGAUACCCUGGUAGUCCACACCGUAAACGUUNNNCGCUAGGUGUGGGGUCCAUUCCACGGAUUCCGUGCCGCAGCUAACGCAUAAG
rnacentral:rRNA from 1 species